UGCUGAUAUUUGCUGUUUAAUUACAAAAAGUGGUGCAUACAGCCCAGUCCAUCACAAAGAAAGCAUUCCCCACCGCGGAGCUACUGUCCUCAUGACCAGACCUUGGUGGUGGCAGGGUUUUCAUUAGUCUAGCAGCCCUGAUGUUUCUGUACCUUCUUUCUGAGCUCCUGUUAACAGCCAUCUGCAACAACAGAGAAAAGUCGAGAGUCCAAUCAAGCCAUUCCAGUACCUCUCAGUUGAUGUCCAAUGAGGAGGCUACAUUGGAUUAAGACAAAUACAGCAGGAAUAUUUAUUUUUCCAAAUUUAUAAAUCUAAAUUAAAACGUAACAGCCAUUUAGAAAUG